GGUUCACUGUACGGAAGGGAAUAUUCCCAUUAACAAUACCUGCAAUAAAGUUUAUCUCAGUGUUUGGGUGUGGGCGUGCGAGCGUUUCGGUUUAUGUGUGGAAUUGCGCGCGUCAUUAUAUCUGCGUAUAUAAUCAUCCUCGUACAUAUGUACAUACAUACAUAUAAAAUUCGGCAUCAACAAAAACUCGAGUGAAUCCUUCGUGGGUCCUUUUCAACUAAAUAAAAGCGAGUCUUCCGUUGCAUCACCAAAAGUUGUUCACUGUUAUUUUUGUUGAGAAGUAAUUCGGUAGUUUUUCUUGCGUUUUUUAUUUGUUUUUGUACUCGUAUGCCUUCCAAUGCGAAUAAGGAAUACACAUACAUCGAUGGAUGAUAAGCGAACGAUUGGGAAAAUGAGUAAAAUGCGAAAAAUCGCGUUUAAUUAUGCAGCGACCAAGUUGUGUAAGACCCGAGUGAGGCCGCCAGUUGCCAGCGAAACGGUGAACGACAUUGCGUUAUUCUUGUUGGUGGUACUUGCCAUCAUUGUCAUUACGUCAACCAAAACAGAUGCUUCCAACUAAUUUGACACUGAAGGGCCUAAUUUCUCGCAUGAACCGCCAUCGUCUAUUGAAUUCACCAACAACGCUGGCAGCAUAGCCGAUUGUAUAGCGUAUGGCAAUCCGCCACCGAAUGUCGAAUGGCUGGAUAAGGAUAAUAAUCCUAUCACCUCAAUA